rnacentral:rRNA from 1 species
AUUGAACGCUGGCGGCAUGCUUUACACAUGCAAGUCGAACGGUAACAGGCCGCAAGGUGCUGACGAGUGGCGAACGGGUGAGUAAUGCAUCGGAACGUGCCCAGUCGUGGGGGAUAACGCAGCGAAAGCUGUGCUAAUACCGCAUACGAUCUGUGGAUGAAAGCGGGGGACCGAAAGGCCUCGCGCGAUUGGAGCGGCCGAUGUCAGAUUAGGUAGUUGGUGGGGUAAAGGCUCACCAAGCCAACGAUCUGUAGCUGGUCUGGGAGGACGACCAGCCACACUGGGACUGAGACACGGCCAAGACUCCUACGGGAGGCAGCAGUGGGUAAUUUUGGACAAUGGGCGCAGGCCUGAUCCAGCAAUGCCGCGUGCAGGAAGAAGGCCUUCGGGUUGUAAACUGCUUUUGUACGGAGCGAAAAGGCUCUCUCUAAUACAGGGGGCUCAUGACGGUACCGUAAGAAUAAGCACCGGCUAACUACGUGCCAGCAGCCGCCGUAACAC